rnacentral:rRNA from 1 species
UACGGAGGUGGCAAGCGUUGCUCGGAAUUACUGGGCGUAAAGCGUGCGUAGACGGUCUCGUAAGUCGGGUGUGAAAGCCCCGGGCUCAACCUGGGAAUUGCAUUCGAAACUGCGAGGCUAGGGUGCGGAAGAGGGAAGCGGAAUUUCGGGUGUAGCGGUGAAAUGCGUAGAUAUCCGAAGGAACAUCAGUGGCGAAAGCGGCUUCCUGGUCCAGCACCGACGUUCAGGCACGAAAGCGUGGGGAGCAAACAGG